CACUCGCGCAAAACGCCAACGGUUGCGGUUGGGCAGAUAGGAAACUCAACUACGUGUAUUGGGACGUUGUUGCGAAUGCAGAUGAUAUUGCGAACGGAAGUGGGCGAGUUGAAGAGUGUGUUGUUUUCCACCAUAAUGAAGACAAUGAUUCUAAACACAUUCUGAGAAUUGUUAAAGAAUGGAUGAUGCAAUUGGAUCACCUCAUAUUGACCGGAACUCAAUCAAAUCGCGCAUUUAUUGGAUCACGAUCAAACUAGAAAAAGAAAGAUUAGCAGGAAGGACAUUGUUUUGAAUGGCAGAAGAAUGGCAAAUUGCAUUGAACUGCAGAAGAAUGGCAAAAAAUUUUACCGGAAGUAACAGGAAAUCUCAAUUCAAUGCCGCGCCGUUUACAAGCUGUAAUUAGCACACAUAAAUAUGAAGUAUUUUAAGUUUUCUGUUCUUAACUUUUGUUUUUGUAAGAAUUGUGUUUUCUUUUUCCAUAAACUUAAAUAAAACAAACCAGUGUCGUUCACUUUCUUUUGACGCAGACGGAACAUAUGUAUAUACAUAUGUACAUAUUGUAAUGGAUUACUCGAUGAAUUAUCUGCUUUGAAACUUAAAUAAAAUUACAAAUUUAUUGGA